AUGCCGACGAGGCUCCGCCUCGACGACGCCGACGAGACUGUCACCUUCUCGGAGGCGCCCGGCUCGUCUAGCUUCCCUUGGCGCAGCCUGCCGUGGAUGUUCAGGGUGCAUGUGCCCGGCGACGAGGUGUCAGAGACGAUCCGGCGGAUCUUCCUAUGGAAUAUAGAGAGCUCGUGCUUCAUGGCAAACUCGUUCGUGACGCUCGAGGCGGCCUACGUGGAGCGCCCGCUCCCCGACCUGAUGGCGAAGUGGGUGUUCGCGGUGGGCGCGCUGUCGGACGACGUGCGCAACUGCGACGAACAUGGCGGGAAGCCAGCGAUGGCCCCGGCGAAGGUGACCGCGUGGCUGGACGGGUUCGACGACGGCUCCGUCGUGUACGUCUGCUUCGGGUCGCAGCAGGCGCUGUCACCGGCGCAGGCGGCGUGA
rnacentral:rRNA from 1 species